UGCGUAUCUGUACACAGUAGCACUAUCAAGUAGUGGCAAGGCAGAAAUACCAAGUGAAGGCAUGCCAACGAUUUCAGCUCCCAAGAAAUGACUUUUUACACUUCCAUCCUCUGGGGAGAAGGAAAGAGAAAUGAGAAAGGAGGGAGGUGAAUGCGGCAACGACAGAUUGAUUUCAGCUGCUCUAUUUCUUUGCUCUCUUCCAAAGAAAAUGGAGGUGGAACGAUUCCAAAGGCAAAGCUCAGAUGGGGGCUGGCACUGCUGGGAGAGACCCAAAGCACCACACAUGCAGGUGGGACGUCGUGUCACCUUAGGACUUCUUCAAAUGCAAUGUAUCGUCAGCAACGGAAUAAGAAAUGGGGCUGUGAAGUUGCUGCAUGUUUGUGUUUAUUUUAUUUCCCGUCGAGUCGGAGGUAUCUGCACUGGUAUGCAGAUGGAUGAAUGCCUCCACUGCUCCACCUGCCUGCAGCCCACACACCAGUCCCAGUUGUGUUGUGUCACUCAAAAGUGGAUCAAAUAGCAAUAAAAACACCAAUCUUGGGGGGUAGCCA
rnacentral:lncRNA from 1 species